GCCAGCAUGGCACAAUGGUUUGAGUGUUGGACUACAACUCUGGAGGCCAGUGUUCGGUUCCCAGUUUAGCCA